GCGAAAAGGAGGGAACGAGUGGCGAGAAAGUAAGAGCGAUACCCGCGCAGAAAAUUAAGCAGAAGACAGUGGCAGCCAUUUUUCCUGACAUUGCCGUUCCUGCGGCUCGCGGUGCUAAUUGUCGUUGAUUCUCUUACGGCCGCUUUCGAGCCGAUCGGAGCAGCGACGUGAACGGGUGUCCAUAGACGGGAUCGCGGUGUUAUUUUGUGCACACCGAGAGAUAAAAGGUGGCGCGAGAUAACGAUAAGAGAAUUUUAGACGUCAAUGGUACGGCGUGGCUCUGAGUGACGAGUGCGUGUGUAAACGAUCGCCGAGAGUAGUGGGGCUCGAGAUCUUAGUUGGCCGAGUGGACAGCCGUAAAGGAGGAGCUGCUGCCGACAACGGGAAGGGUGUUACAGGAGGCGACAGCGACGGCAACGGUGACGACAACGACGAUCACGAGGACAACGACGACGGCGACGAUACGACGGAAACGGCAACGAUCGCGGAUACGGAGUUACGGCAGCCCAGCCUAGGCGCCCUUAUUUCGUGGGUUUCGUCCCUAGAAACCCUCCUCGAAACGGGGAAUCGUUAGUAUUGCACAGUGCACACAGUCACGCGCCACCGCGUACAUCAGCGCCACGAGAUGGAGAGGCGAGCUGCUUUUGUGCUGCUGGGGAUGCUAUAUUUAGCGGGCACCCUCGUCACGGUCCAGGCAGUAACUUACACGGGAGCGUCGGUCGUGCACGAGGGCCAACCUUGGAGGAUCGAGUGCAGUGGCCUGAAGCCGGACGAUCUGAUCAGAUGGACCAGAAACGGGCAGUCGCUCGAGCCGGAGUUGGCCAGCGGUCAGUUGGUCGUCGACUCGCACGUGGCCAACGGAAGCAGUACACUUCGGGCGAAGUACGCCACCGAUAGCCACGACGGGGACUACAAAUGUACCCCGGACAGCAGCGAUGUCUUUCAUCUAUGGAUAUACUUUGAUAUCAAGAUUAAAGUACUUACCCCGAAGGACACGCCUAUGACGCUAGAAUGCGCGAACAAGACGGCCGGCUCGAAGGUGAAUUGGUUUAAGGAAGACGUUCCGAUAUACACAGCCUUGGCUGGCAGCGAGGACCACUUCAAGGUGGACAACGAAACUGGCACGCUGGAGCUCGUCUCGGCCAACGAUGUCAUCUACGGAAAUUACACUUGCAAAGGACACAAUUCCUCCACAGAGUAUAGGAUCGUACCAAGACCCACAGCACACUUGGUCGAGUCUAUCAGCGUGGUGGAAGGGGAGAAGCUGCAUUUAGUGUGUACCGGCAAGCAGAGUCCCGGUAUCAAAGUAUCAUGGACAUUCGGGGACCAGAAUUACACGCGUAGCAAAGGCCGCGUUAAGAUCGAACGGGACCGAGAGAGGGGCAUCUACGGAGCCGUGCUGAGUGUUGAAAAUAUCGAGAUGAACGACCGUGGCAACGUUUACUGCAGGGUAUCAUACAACUGGUCCGACCCCGCUGAGACUCAUACCGCAGAGGCCCAAUCGUUGCUCAGGGUCAAAGACAAGCUCGCCGCGCUCUGGCCGUUCCUAGGCAUUUGCGCGGAAGUGAUUGUACUGUGCGCCAUCAUCCUAGUCUACGAGAAGAAACGAAACAAGGCUGAACUCGAGGAAUCCGACACUGAUCAGAGUCCCGACACCAAACCAACGCCCAACAAGGAUUCCGAUGUCAGGCAGAGAAAGUGAAACGGCGAAUAAUAAGCGGUGGACGAAUGAGAGAGAUGCAGGAUAGCAGAAACGGAUAAUGGAGGAAUGAUCGUGGGGCAUUUAUUGCCGGAGUGACAAUAUAGAUGAUAGCUGUACAGGAGAGAAUCGCGGUAGAGAGAGAAAGAGAAAGAGAGAGAGAGAAAGAAGAAAGAGAGAGGUAGGGAGAUAUAGCUUGGUAAAAGAAUUUCCGAAAAACGAGAAAGACACAUCGUUCAAGGAAACGAAUAAAAAAAAUGAAGUAAUAGAACAUAAAAAAAAAGAAACAAGAACGGUAAACCCGUUUUGAAGUGGACAGAGAGACAGAUUGAGAGAGAGAAAGAUAGAGAGAGAGCGAGAGAGAUUAUUAUAUAAAUAUUAUAUACAUAAAUAAAGUUCGAGUGACGGGCGAUAAUAGCCGGUCGUUUCGAGUACAUUACCUGCGUGGAAAACAGGCUUCGUCUGAGCACAGAAUGCAGCAGCGCGUGCGCGGGAUAUUACGAUUUACUAACAAAUUAAAGUUAAGCCUUACUAUCGUGUUCACUCCAUUUAUCAGAUGUUCGCCUGUCCGUACUCUCGACUACAUACACUGCUUUGAUCGACAAAUUGGAGCUGACAAGAGAGUGAGAGAGAGAAAGAGAAAAUUUUUGUGCUAUUAUAUUGAUCUUGCGCGUGUUUGUAUGUGACGAUAAGAAUGUGCGUGGAAAACCGGAAUAUAAGCGAAAUAAAACAGAGAGAAGAACAGAUAUAAAGAAACCGUGACGGAAAAAAAAAAAAUAAGAGAAAGGAUUAGGCAAAAAUGAGCACAGGGCGAGAGAGGGAGGGAGUGUUUCAUGUGUGUGUCUGUACUGCGCGUGACGUGUGCGCAUGCUUGCAUGCGCCUGCCUGAAUGAAAGAAUGCGAUAGUGACGAAUAAGAAUAAUAAAUCACAUAUAUAAUUCGGAACAGCAUACCCGCCGAAACUGAUAUAUACACGAGUAUAGUAAUGGAAGAUCGUCUAUGAAGUUUUUAUGGUUUCCUGUUCGUGUAACCGUCAAUGACCUUGAAUGAUUUUCAUCUGUGUUGAGAACGUACUCGUGGAAGCUGUAAUGAGAUAGAAAAGCAAAACGAAGCAAUGUUUCAGGUAGGUGGAACACACGCUCUGUAUGUAUACUAUAUGUUUGAGACGCAUUUAUUCUCGUAAUCCCGAAGAAUCAUUUUCUUGACCCUAUCCACACUGAGCUUCGGCGGGUAUGCUGGACCUGAUUUCAGAGCGUGUAGGCCCCCUUGUUUCUCAUACUUCGCACGUGUGUGACCGAAGAGAAUUUAAAGAAAGGAAAAAAAAGAUGUUUUACGGUAGGACCGAACAAAAAAAAAUUAUAUGCUCGAUUACUAGUUAUGUAAUAAUAGGAUCACGAGGCAAUGCGUGCUAUUAAUUGGCUUCCGAACGCAAUCCAGACUUUCUCAGUGGCAUUGAAAAAGCUUACCUGGGUGGCGUCGCCUUAUUAUAAUUAUUAUUAAUUACUUAAUUAAUUAUGAUCUUGAAAUAUUCCAUCGCUCAUGGAGAAAAACACAUGCACAUAAAUAUACAUACACAUACACACACAUAUACACACAGAGAGAGAGAGACACAGAAAGAAGACACACGUCGGAAGUCAUGUUUUUGCGCGCGACGCCGUUGUUAACGACGUUAAAUGUAAUUAUUAAUACUGUAAUCUUAUUGCCAUCGUUACUACUGCUGCUACUAUCGUUAUUAUGAUUAUUACAAGUAUUAUCGUUAAUUUUACCACUAUUGUAAUAAUUUAUAAUCCGUAC